rnacentral:rRNA from 1 species
CAGGGAAUCUUCGGCAAUGGACGAAAGUCUGACCGAGCAACGCCGCGUGAGUGAAGAAGGUUUUCGGAUCGUAAAACUCUGUUGUUAGAGAAGAACAAGGACGUUAGUAACUGAACGUCCCCUGACGGUAUCUAACCAGAAAGCCACGGCCAACUACGUGCCAGCAGCCGCGGUAAUACGUAGGUUGCAAGCGUUGUCCGGAUUUAUUGGGCGAAAAGCGAGCGCCGGCGGUAUCUUAAGUCUGAUGUGAGAGCCCCCGGCUCAACCGGGGAGGGUCAUUGGGAACUGGGAGACUUGAGUGCAGAAGGGGAGAGUGGAAUUCGAUGUGGAGCGGUGAAAUGCGUAGAUAUAUGGAGGAGCACCAGUGGCGAAGGCGGCUCUCUGGUCUGUAACUGCCGCUGUGGCUCGAAAGCGUGGGGAGCAAACAGG